UGAGCAGAGGGCAGAUAUGGCAGCCAUGUGUAGAUGCUGUUAAUCACUUCAUCCUGCCACCAGAGAGCGUCUCUUUAUUUCAACCACACUAUACAACACGGAAGCAAUGGUAUAUAAUACAAAACUUAGAAAGACUCUUGGAGGAUUUGAUGAGGCUUCAGUGCUGUUAUUCCUGCAUGAGGAGUGUGCACACAGCCACUGAAUACAAGGGUGCGGAGCACUGGGAAAUAAAUGUAGAAUUUCAGAAAGCAGGGUCUGGUCCAUUUCCCCCCUGGAGGAUCAUGGCCUCGACUCAAUCUGAUCACCACUUCACUUUUGUUUUCUGGGACAAGACGUAAACACUGGGAUUUUUCCUGCACAAUGAAAGGUGGACGUGAAGGAGAGGGGCCGUUCGGAUGGGUCGGGUGCCCCCCCCCACACCCAACUGGGCAGCCUGGUCCGGCUCAGCCUGGCCGGUCGACGCGGAAACAGUGGCGACGGCAGCGUGGUGUCAGCGGGAGACAGGAAGAGGCAGGAAGAGGCAGGAACAGGCACAAACACAGGAACCUUCCAUUCUGCCACCGAGUCUGAGGCCGACCCGGGACCACAGGAGUCCGCCUGCCGCGUAGCAACUCGUACACUACUCUUGACCCCUCCGGGGUAAGCGUUCCCGGUUGGACACAGGGCUCUACUCAGGGAGCAUGGCACCAUUUGUGACGCGCGUUCUGGAACAGUGGCUCGGUGUAAUAAUAUGCUCUAAUAUGACAGGAGUAGUGACUUGCGCAAUCAGCGAUUACUCACAAGUCCUCUGGGAUGUUGCAUGAAGCGCCACAGAGUCGUGGAGUGUGAUACACGGAGAUAUAUUUAGGGCCAUCAUGACUUUACCUCAGAUGACAUGUUGGGCUUUGGCUUGAGGGUCACCAUAUUAAAACCUGGUUAGUAUAGGUGAUUAAUGGGAUGUGUUUUACACUGACAUUUAUUUUAUAUUUUUGUUGUGUGGAUUAAGACAUACGGGCAUAAUAAAUUGUGUGUUAUCAGUCUUAAUUUAUCCGGGGGAACAGAUUUUAGGGAGAUAUUAAAUACCUACAUUAAUCAUUGCUACUGU